rnacentral:rRNA from 1 species
GACGAACGCUGGCGGCGUGCCUAACACAUGCAAGUGGAGCGACGAACCGGACUUCGGUCCGGGGCAAAGCCGCGAACGGGUGAGUAACACGUGGGUAACCUGCCCCGAUGAUUGGGACAACCCGAGGGAAACUCGGGCUAAUACCGAAUGUGCCCUACGGUCGCAAGACCGCUAGGGGAAAGGAAGCUUCGGCCUCCGCAUCGGGAUGGGCCCGCGGCCCAUUAGGCUUGUUGGUGAGGUAAAGCUCACCAAGGCCACGAUGGGUAGCUGGUCUGAGAGGACGAUCAGCCACACUGGGACUGAGACACGGCCCAGACUCCUACGGGAGGC